rnacentral:tRNA from 1 species
UAUAUUUUGGUGUAGGAUGCACAAGGAGUUUUGAUCUCCUAAGAUUUAGUUUGAAUCUAAAAAAUAUAA